AGCCGACCCCGGGCGAGUCCGCGGCACCGCGUCCCUUCGCGUCGUACGCGCUGCGGCGGGGCGGGGGCGCCUGGACCCCGGCGGGCCUCGAGCGUCCCUUCGGGCUCCUACUAUUCAGACGUUGGGCCUCCUAGAUUGAUCUUCUCUGUCAAUAUCUUUGUUAUUACUUCACUUUAGCAUGAGCCUGUGCUGCCUCUGUAGACAGCUGGAAGCAGCUGUGUCAAGACCUGCAGUGUUAUCAUGGAUGCCUAAAUGGAAAUUCUGGCCCAACUCUGGUUGGCUUGAACUUGAUGCAAGGUCAGUUCAGAGGACAAAAGACAAGGACCUUUCAGCUUGAAGCCAAAGGUGUUACUACUUAGAAUGUAGGGCACACAACACAAGGCUGGGUAGAUGGGGGGAUGACGUUUGGGAGCAUGAAUCUGUGUGGAGACACUUUGGAUCACACCAGACUGAAGGAGGAUACACAGGGACCUGAUCCUAGGACCUAGGGCUGAACGUCCUGUCCCAAGAGCACUUGAUGGAGAGUCUGGGCACAGAGCUCCAGCUGCACUGCAGUGUCUUUGGACCUAGAGGAUCUAGUGGCUCGGGGAGAGGAAAAGAAGAGAAGAAGAAGAAGAAGAAGAAAAAG